rnacentral:sRNA from 1 species
CCUUAGCCCCGGGAGUAGCGGCAUCCUUUGCUUUUUUAAAGAAAAAAAGCAAAGAUAUAGCGGAUCACGGGACGAUGU